rnacentral:rRNA from 1 species
UACGUAGGUCCCGAGCGUUGUCCGGAUUUAUUGGGCGUAAAGCGAGCGCAGGCGGUUAGAUAAGUCUGAAGUUAAAGGCUGUGGCUUAACCAUAGUAUGCUUUGGAAACUGUUUAACUUGAGUGCAGAAGGGGAGAGUGGAAUUCCAUGUGUAGCGGUGAAAUGCGUAGAUAUAUGGAGGAACACCGGUGGCGAAAGCGGCUCUCUGGUCUGUAACUGACGCUGAGGCUCGAAAGCGUGGGGAGCAAACAGGAUUAGAUACCCUGGUAGUCCACGCCGUAAACGAUGAGUGCUAGGUGUUAGACCCUUUCCGGGGUUUAGUGCCGCAGCUAACGCAUUAAGCACUCCGCCUGGGGAGUACGACCGCAAGGUUGAAACUC